AGUGAACGCUGGCGGUAGGCCUAACACAUGCAAGUCGAACGGCAGCACAGUAAGAGCUUGCUCUUACGGGUGGCGAGUGGCGGACGGGUGAGGAAUACAUCGGAAUCUACUUUUUCGUGGGGGAUAACGUAGGGAAACUUACGCUAAUACCGCAUACGACCUACGGGUGAAAGCAGGGGAUCUUCGGACCUUGCGCGAUUGAAUGAGCCGAUGUCGGAUUAGCUAGUUGGCGGGGUAAAGGCCCACCAAGGCGACGAUCCGUAGCUGGUCUGAGAGGAUGACAGGCCCACUGGAAAUUGGGAACCGGCCCAGCCCCCAAGGGGGGGCAGAAGGGGGGAAAAUUGGAAAAGGGGCGCAAGCCUGAUCCAGCCAUACCGGGGGGGUGAAGAAGGCCUUCGGGUUGUAAAGCCCUUUUUUUGGGAAAAAAAAGCAGCAGGUUAAUACCCCGCUGUUCUGACGGUACCAAAAGAAUAAGCACCGGUUAACUUCGG
rnacentral:rRNA from 1 species